rnacentral:rRNA from 1 species
AACCCCUGCAUUCAGUUGCCAACGGUAAGGCCGGGCACUCUGGAUGGACUGCCGGCGACAAGCCGGAGGAAGGUGGGGAGUGACGUCAAGUCAUCAUGGCCCUUAUGUCCAGGGCGACACACGUGCUACAAUGGCCGGCACAGCGGGAAGCGAGGGGGCGACCUUGAGCGGAUCCCUCAAAGCCGGUCUCAGUUCGGAUUGCAGUCUGCAACUCGACUGCAUGAAGUUGGAAUCGCUAGUAAUCGUGGAUCAGCCAAGCCGCGGUGAAUACGUUCCCGGGCCUU